AUGUUAUGUUCCCAAGGACAACCUUCAGGAACCAAAUGGGGAAAAAACAGAGACAUUUUCCAAAAGAAUGGAGUCACAGAGAUGCCAUCAGCAGCUCCCCAGAUCCUGGCUAGACCUUCAGCUUCCCCAUCAGAUGACCAGAGACUCCAGGCCAAAGCCACUGCAGAGCUUCCAUCGCAUCCAGUCUACCGGGGGAACAUCACCGUUUUGCCCCUUCUAUAUUCUGACUAUAUGACUCAAUUACUGGGCCAUGACAACAAGUCUGAUAAAUCGAGUUCAUCGUCUCACUCUGACCAUCAAACUCUUCCUUCUUCAUAUAGCAGCAAUAGGACGAAAGCUUCAUCAAGCCGUUCUCCUCAGGUUUGCUCAUUAGGUCAUGCCCAAUGGACAGAAGAACAACCGCACGUUCAUUAUUGGGCCACUUCUCAAGCACGUCAGGAUGAGACCGUCCUGGGCGCCAGUGGCCAGGCCACAUCUCUACCAGGCUCUAACCACUUGGUCACGAUUCCCUCAAGCCUGGACCCCCAAGACUCUUCUCUGGGCUCAGAACACCUGACCACACUUCCGCCUGGCCAGGACAAUUGGGCAUACAUCCCACUGGACCUUGACCACCAGCGUACAACUCCACAGGGCCUCGGCAGUUGUACUGAAACUAAACUAAGCCAUUGUGCCGUGGACACAAUCCAAAAGGUUAUGCCAAAUCCAGAGGUGGCCCUGGACACCGACACUAGCCUAAGGCCUCCAACAGGACUGGAUUGCUUGGCCGUACAUCCAGUAGGCCUUAGACCUAUGGAUCAUAAUUGCCAUGUUGAAGAGGCUCUGCUAGAGUCCGGUGUUCAGGAGACAUCUCCACUAGCCUCAGGCCUUGGGGAAAUGAUAUUCCAGGAAUCUGAUUACCAGGCUGAGGCUACAGCAAAUGCCAAUGAUCUGAUGGUCCCACACAGAGCAGUUGUGCGCCAUCAGGAGUCAAGGACGUUGGAACCCAACUGCUGUAACAAAUACCCAGAGAAACUGCAAAACUGGCCAAUACCCCAAAUGGUCCCACAAGCUAAGAGGGAUGAGCCUGGCCAUGAUGGCCAGGGAGUAUCUCCAUCAUCUUUGAACCUUGAGCCAAUGCCAUUGGGCGUGGAUCAUGAGAUUACACAUUACACUGACGCAGGUUGCCAGACGGAAGCUGUCGAAGCCCCCCAUUCCCAGUCCUUUGUUCUGUAUCCCCUGGAAAUAAGGGCUCUGAGUCCCAACUGCCAAGCCAAAUACCCAGAGGAACAAGAAAACCAGGUCACACUCCAAAUAAGCUAUAACCUCCAGGCUGAGGAGAUUGUACCCAACGCAAACGUUCAGGGGACCUCUCUACCCGUUGUGAGCCUCGAACCCCAGGCUUUCCUGCAACACAGUCCUGGCCAACAGGUUCAGCCUGCAGAAGACCCCAGUGCCAUUCUUUCUAUCCAUUUAACUGAGCUGGAACACAGUACAGAAUCUCCACAGUGCCCAGGAGAUGGGACUCUACCUCUAUCCACACCUGUUCCCAGGGUCAAAUCUCCAGCUCUCUGUGAUGCUCCAACUGAGGUUGAACUGAAGUGUGAUGACCAAUCUGAGGCUCAGCCUGGCCUCCAAGACCAGAUUCUGAAUAGAGAUGCGCCAUGUUUAAAGGGCAUUGAGCCAUUUAGCAUUGAGAGGGGGAUAAUUCCUAAUAGAAUUGUAAAUGCCGUCAUCAGUUCUAUCCCUCUGGAGAAAAUCCAAAUUGACCUCUAUAAGGAAAUCAUUUUACAACAGAAGAGUCAGUGUCCUAAUACCUGGCCCAAUCAACUUAUAUCAUCCAGUUAUACAGUCUGUCUCAUUUGUGCUGCAUGGAUCCCAAAUGGUUGUCCCCAUGUCGAAGAAAUGAAACAUCUUUUUAAAGCACAAUUGUUGGCCAUCCCAACGCCUCUGAAUGAUUCUGAGGAAAAUGGGGUGAAAUUAGUCCUCAAAAUUUCCCAGCAGAAAAGGGCCCACUCCAUUGUUAGGUUCCCACGCCCCGAAGAUGGCAUACUUAGACCCACGUUACAUGAACUUCUGUUGUCAGCUCAUUCAGAGCCUUUGUCUCCUGAGUCACCCUUUUACCAACAUCUACCUGCAAGGGUCCAUCGGUCUGAUUAUAUUCAUGGCAAAAAGCACCAGCUAUGGAGGGGAAAAAUAUCUGGUAGGAAACAACCAUUCAAAGGGGAGUUGCACAUGAAAGGCAUUUCCAACAAGGAAGAAAAGCCAGAGAGACAUGGGUUAGCUUCCAAAUUUUUUCAAAGAAUAUUUCAGAGGAGAAGAAAAAAUUAAAUGAAUUAUCUUUUCUCUUUUUAAGAAACUGGUCACUGUAUAUCUUUAAUAUUUUUAUUUGAUUUUGUGUCUCACUUUGUAUUCUUUAUAGACAGGAAAAUAAGGAGAACUUCCUUUUAGUAUUCAUGAGGAAAUCUAGACUCUCAGUAGGAGAUAUAUCAAUAGGAGCAGUUCCCAUAAUUAUAAUUCCCUAGGCUUACACAGUCACAGAUCUUUGGGAGGUAGCUAUUAUUAUAUGCAUUUUAUAGUUAUGGAAGUUGAGACAAACAGAGGUUAAAUGACUUGCCCAAGGUCACACAACUAGCAAGUGUCUGACAUCAAAUUUAAACUCAGAUCUUCCUUAGUCCAGGCAUGUUGUUCUAUCUAUUUUGCCAGCCAAUGUAGAGAAAAGCAAACAGCAAGAGAAGCAAUUUACAUAAUGACCAUAGUAAUGUAAAGGAAAACAAGUAUUGAAAGACUCAAACUGUGAUCAAUGAAAUGGCAUCAUAAGUGGUAAAGCAUGCCUCCCUCCUCUAUGUGAAGAGUAAUAAACUAUGAGUACAGAGUGAGGUGAGAUGCA
rnacentral:lncRNA from 1 species